rnacentral:rRNA from 1 species
GAUGAACGCUGGCGGCGUGCCUAAUACAUGCAAGUCGAGCGAACAGACGAGGAGCUUGCUCCUCUGACGUUAGCGGCGGACGGGUGAGUAACACGUGGAUAACCUACCUAUAAGACUGGGAUAACUUCGGGAAACCGGAGCUAAUACCGGAUAAUAUAUUGAACCGCAUGGUUCAAUAGUGAAAGACGGUUUUGCUGUCACUUAUAGAUGGAUCCGCGCCGCAUUAGCUAGUUGGUAAGGUAACGGCUUACCAAGGCGACGAUGCGUAGCCGACCUGAGAGGGUGAUAGGCCACACUGGAACUGAGACACGGUCCAGACUCCUACGGGAGGCAGCAGUAGGGAAUCUUACGCAAUGGGCGAAAGCCUGACGGAGCAACGCCGCGUGAGUGAUGAAGGUCUUCGGAUCGUAAAACUCUGUUAUUAGGGAAGAACAAAUGUGUAAGUAACUAUGCACGUCUUGACGGUACCUGAUCAGAAAGCCACGGCUAACUACGUG